CGCUCCUUAGCCACCCAAGAGAGCGAGGAAGGCUUCUGGAGCAGGCGGGGUCUGUCUCUCUGAGGCAGGCGUGUCCAACCUGCGGCCCCCGGGCCACGUGCAGCCCAGGAUGGCUAGGAGUGCAGCCCAGCACAAAACAUGUGGCCCGGAGACGCCAGAAGUUUGGACGCCCCUGCAGGGUGACGUCUGAGGCUUUUCUGCCUCACCCCAGCAGCCCCAGCACAGGUGCGGCCGGAGGAGCGGCCGGAACAAGGCCCCAGGAAGCCACGGGACAGGCACAGCAAACCUCAAAUCUCGGUUGAGCCCUGGCCACGGGCCGACACCCCUCGGGGUGAUCUCGAUCUGCCAGCGAACAACACGGGCCGGAACAGGCGAGGGGCAGACACGCUGGAAACAAGCCCACCAGCGAACAAGAGGGCGUCCGGGGGCCAGCAGUCUGAGAUCAGGGCCCAGCAGGGCCACGCUCCCUCUGAGACUUCGCAAGCUGGCUGGUGGCUGGCCGGCCGUCUUGGGGUCCCUCGUCCUGCGACUGCAUCAUCCGUCCAAUCGCUGCCUGUCAUCUCACAACGCUCUCCGGUGCACGUCUGCCUCCGCGUCCACGUUUCCCCGCUUUGGAAGGACACCAGGGGCGGUGUUGGGUCGGGGCCCCCUCCGAUGACACCAUUUUUAACUUGAUUACCUCUGCAAAGACCCCAUC